CGUGUAGGCGGUCAGGUAAGUGGAAUGUGAAAUGCCCCGGCUCACCCGGGGACCGGCAUCCCAAACUGCCUGGCUUGAGUAUGGGAGAGGGAUGGAGGAAUUCCUGGUGUAGCGGUGAAAUGCGUAGAUAUCAGGAGGAACACCGGUGGCGAAGGCGUCCAUCUGGCCCAAUACUGACGCUGAGGCGCGAAAGCUAGGGGGAGCAAACG
rnacentral:rRNA from 1 species